rnacentral:rRNA from 1 species
GAUGGCGACCGGCGCACGGGUGAGUAACACGUAUCCAACCUGCCGUCUACUCUUGGACAGCCUUCUGAAAGGAAGAUUAAUACAAGAUGGCAUCAUGAGUCCGCAUGUUCACAUGAUUAAAGGUAUUCCGGUAGACGAUGGGGAUGCGUUCCAUUAGAUAGUAGGCGGGGUAACGGCCCACCUAGUCUUCGAUGGGUAGGGGUUCUGAGAGGAAGGUCCCCCACAUUGGAACUGAGACACGGUCCAAACUCCUACGGGAGGCAGCAGUGAGGAAUAUUGGUCAAUGGGCGAGAGCCUGAACCAGCCAAGUAGCGUGAAGGAUGACUGCCCUAUGGGUUGUAAACUUCUUUUAUAAAGGAAUAAAGUCGGGUAUGGAUACCCGUUUGCAUGUACUUUAUGAAUAAGGAUCGGCUAACUCCGUGCCAGCAGCCGCGGUAAUACGGAGGAUCCGAGCGUUAUCCGGA